rnacentral:lncRNA from 1 species
GCAAGACUGUUUUGGGGGUGAAAUUAACAGGCAAGUUGGUGAGCUUUGGUGAAGCAAACAACCUUACAUGAUGUGAGUGGUCCUUGUGCCCAGUUGAAGCCAUGCACUGUGCACUGGAGAGGCAGAGCAUCCUGCCUUCCACAGCCGUGCACACCAGUCCCUGUGCACAAGUGGCCACCCACCCAGCGAAUCGACGUGGUGUGCUUAUCAAAAUCUGUGUGUCUGUGGGCCAGAGCCAAAUCCAGCAGAGCCCCAUCCUGAAUGCCCAGCGGUGCCCACAGCCAGGAGGAGCAUUCGAUGUGUGAUGACUCAUCUCGUGCAUCAGACGCUCUCUAAAGUUCCCACAGAUUAUACCAUGGCUUAGUGAGUGCGAUUCUAAGACAGUUCCAAAAGACUUUUCAAUCCGUGGGAGUUUCAAAGUGGAUUCUCAGACAAACAUGGGGAGGACUGAGGCAGGCUUGGACACGCACAGAAUCAGACAACGAUGGGCUGAGGAAGUGGCUCAGCGGUUAAGAGCACUGUCUGCUCUUCCAAAGGUCCGGAGUUCAAAUCCCUGCAACCACAUGGUGGCUCACAACCAACUGUAAUGAGAUCUGGCGCCCUCUUCUGGAGUGUCUGAAGACAGAUACAGUGUACUUACAUAUAGUAAAUAAAUAAAUCUUAAAAAAAAAAAAAA